UACGUAGGGGGCAAGCGUUGUCCGGAUUCAUUGGGCGUAAAGAGCGUGUAGGCGGCCAGGUAGGUCGGUUGUGAAAACUGGAGGCUCAACCUUCAGAGGUCGACCGAAACCAUCUGGCUAGAGUCCGGGAGAGGAGAGUGGAAUUCCUGGUGUAGCGGUGAAAUGCGUAGAGAUCAUGAGGAAGACCAGUGGCGAAGGCGGGUCUCUGGACCGUAACUGACGCUGAGGAGCGAAAGCGUGGGGAGCGAACAGG
rnacentral:rRNA from 1 species